rnacentral:rRNA from 1 species
AUGAACGCUGGCGGCGUGCCUAAUACAUGCAAGUCGAGCGAACAGAUAAGGAGCUUGCUCCUUUGACGUUAGCGGCGGACGGGUGAGUAACACGUGGGUAACCUACCUAUAAGACUGGGAUAACUUCGGGAAACCGGAGCUAAUACCGGAUAACAUUUGGAACCGCAUGGUUCUAAAGUGAAAGAUGGUUUUGCUAUCACUUAUAGAUGGACCCGCGCCGUAUUAGCUAGUUGGUAAGGUAACGGCUUACCAAGGCAACGAUACGUAGCCGACCUGAGAGGGUGAUCGGCCACACUGGAACUGAGACACGGUCCAGACUCCUACGGGAGGCAGCAGUAGGGAAUCUUCCGCAAUGGGCGAAAGCCUGACGGGGCAACGCCGCGUGAGUGAUGAAGGGUUUCGGCUCGUAAAACUCUGUUAUUAGGGAAGAACAAACGUGUAAGUAACUGUGCACGUCUUGACGGUACCUAAUCAGAAAGCCACGGCUAACUACGUG